GUAGGUGGCAAGCGUUGUCCGGAGUUAUUGGGCGUAAAGCGCGCGCAGGUGGUUCGUUUAAGUCUGAUGUGAAAGACCCCCGGGCUCAACCGGGGAGGGUCAUUGGAAACUGGGGAACUUGAGUGCAGGAGAGGAAAGUGGAAUUCCACGUGUAGCGGUGAAAUGCGUAGAUAUGUGGAGGAACACCAGUGGCGAAGGCGACUUUCUGGCCUGUAACUGACACUGAGGCGCGAAAGCGUGGGGAGCAAACAGGAUUAGAUACCCUGGUAGUCCACGCCGUAAACGAUGAGUGCUAAGUGUUGGGGGGUUUCCGCCCCUCAGUGCUGCAGCUAACGCAUUAAGCACUCCGCCUGGGGUGUACGGUCGCAAAGACUG
rnacentral:rRNA from 1 species